CCUACAGGCAGGACAUAAACCACAUGACUGCAAGGAAAAAUCCCCCUAAUCCCCUUCCACAUCUGCAAAGAAGGAAUCCUUUCCUUUGUGGAUAGAGUGCUCUUUUGGGCAGCGUGAGCCUGUAUGCAUGUGUAUACCUGUGUAUGCCUGUAUGCAUCCUUCUUUCUACAGCAACGGUCACCCACCAGGAGGAAACCCUUGGGGAAGGCGAAGAUGGCCCAAGGCACUCCCUGUGCUCCCAGGAGCACACACACAGCAGAGUUUCCCCACACUGUGCAGGGCUGCAGUCUGUUUGGAUGAGCUGCUCAGGCACACUGGAAGGGGUAUUCAAGAGAUGGUUAACGGGAACAGCAGUUCCUGAGACACAAUGACAAACCACUAAGCGUCUGAGAUCGUGCAGGUGGGAAUCAGCACUCCUGGAGGGACUGUUCUCGGGGGCAGGAAUCUUUUUAAAAAAUAAAUAAAUAAAUAAAAUAAUGUGGAACCCUCA